rnacentral:rRNA from 1 species
ACACACCGAAGUCCGAUUCGUCGGCCUAAGGUGGGGGGGAUGAUUGGGGUU